AAGUCGUAACAAGGUUUCCGUAGGUGAACCUGCGGAAGGAUCAUUAAAGAGUUAGGGUCCUAGUGGCCCAACCUCCAACCCUCUGUUGCUAAAGUCAAUACCUUGAUCGUCGUUUUUGGGCCGGGUUGGACCCGGGGAUUCCCGGGUUUCCUCCGGGUAGCCUCCGGACGGCUUGAACCCCGUUUUCAACCUUGGGGCGGGUUUUUGGGGCCGGAAGGCCGCCCCCGCCCAGAGUCCAAACCCAAAAACUCUUGUGUUUAAAACCCAGUCGUCUGAGUAUAAAAAUUUUUAAUUAAAAUUAAAAA
rnacentral:misc_RNA from 1 species